CUUCUUACUGGAGGUCCCUACUUUUCUGAGGCCUUCUGAAGAACACUCAAAAUGGCAGUUGUAACUAAACCUACAAGCAUACAGACCUCACAGUCAGAAGAGCAAUAACUCAUUAUGGAAUAAUGUCACAGAGCAUCUUGCAGCAAUUUUGUCACCAACAACUUUGUUACUUGAAACUAUGAGACAGACUGCUCUGAGCUGGAAAUAUCAAUAACAGGAAUUGCUGGAACAACAUAUGCCUGCUAUGUAUGCACAGUUUGUGCUGCUGGGGAGCCAUUCCUACCUCACAAGAUUCUUAGAGGAAAGUCCUGAAGGUAAAGAUGAAGACUCACGUUCUGUUCAUGAGCAAAAAUAAUCAAAUGAAAGGCUCAGCUUCUACAGUACAGAAGACACUUGAACUGUGUGAGUGUGACAAUUGAGUCUGUAAAAUAUUCAUGUUUUUGAAAAUCAAUGUGUGUGUUUCCUUCAAUGGAAGAUCCUUGCUUUCUCAGUCCAUCUCUCUUUUACAAGCUAUUCUCCCAGUGCUUGUGUGGUCUCAACAAUGCAUAAUCCAUCCCUUCAUUACUUUGACUGUCUCUAAUCCAUAAAAAUGUUUCUUAUAUUUUGUGAUUAAACUCCUGAAAGACAGCCCAGUGCUGAACUGA